rnacentral:rRNA from 1 species
AGUCGAGGGGCAGCAUGGUCUUAGCUUGCUAAGGCCGAUGGCGACCGGCGCACGGUGUGAGUAACACGUAGCCAACCUGCCGUCUACUCUUGGACAGCCUUCUGAAAGGAAGAUUAAUACAAGAUGGCAUCAUGAGUCCGCAUGUUCACAUGAUUAAAGGUAUUCCGGUAGACGAUGGGGAUGCGUUCCAUUAGAUAGUAGGCGGGGUAACGGCCCACCUAGUCUUCGAUGGAUAGGGGUUCUGAGAGGAAGGUCCCCCACAUUGGAACUGAGACACGGUCCAAACUCAUACGGGAGGCAGCAGUGAGGAAUAUUGGUCAAUGGGCGAGAGCCUGAACCAGCCAAGUAGCGUGAAGGAUGACUGCCCUAUGGGUUGUAAACUUCUUUUAUAAAGGAAUAAAGUCGGGUAUGCAUACCCGUUUGCAUGUACUUUAUGAAUAAGGAUCGGCUAACUCCGUGCCAGCAGCCGCGGUAAUACGGAGGAUCCGAGCGUUAUCCGGAUUUAUUGGGUUUAAAGGGAGCGUAGAUGGAUGUUUAAGUCAGUUGUGAAAGUUUGCGGCUCAACCGUAAAAUUGCAGUUGAUACUGGAUAUCUUGAGUGCAGUUGAGGCAGGCGGAAUUCGUGGUGUAGCGGUGAAAUGCUUAGAUAUCACGAAGAACUCCGAUUGCGAAGGCAGCCUGCUAAGCUGCAACUGACAUUGAGGCUCGAAAGUGUGGGUAUCAAACAGGAUUAGAUACCCUGGUAGUCCACACGGUAAACGAUGAAUACUCGCUGUUUGCGAUAUACGGCAAGCGGCCAAGCGAAAGCGUUAAGUAUUCCACCUGGGGAGUACGCCG